GAUGAACGCUGGCGGCGUGCCUAAUACAUGCAAGUCGAGCGAACAGACGAGGAGCUUGCUCCUCUGACGUUAGCGGCGGACGGGUGAGUAGCACGUGGAUAACCUACCUAUAAGACUGGGAUAACUUCGGGAAACCGGAGCUAAUACCGGAUAAUCUAUUGAACCGCAUGGUUCAAUAGUGAAAGACGGUUUUGCUGUCACUUAUAGAUGGAUCCGCGCCGCAUUAGCUAGUUGGUAAGGUAACGGCUUACCAAGGCAACGAUGCGUAGCCGACCUGAGAGGGUGAUCGGCCACACUGGAACUGAGACACGGUCCAGACUCCUACGGGAGGCAGCAGUAGGGAAUCUUCCGCAAUGGGCGAAAGCCUGACGGAGCAACGCCGCGUGAGUGAUGAAGGUCUUCGGAUCGUAAAACUCUGUUAUUAGGGAAGAACAAAUGUGUAAGUAACUAUGCACGUCUUGACGGUACCUAAUCAGAAAGCCACGGCUAACUACGUG
rnacentral:rRNA from 1 species